rnacentral:piRNA from 1 species
AGUGUGAAACUGAAGAAGUGGUAG